CAUUUUCUUUUGGCAUAAUUGCACCAUGAGAGUCAUAGAACACUUCAGAUACAAUGAUGGUGAGAGCAACACGUAUCAAAAAAGGGACUGCAGUUAAAAGCUAGGGCUAGGACUUGGAGGAUGUGUAGGCAAACGGAAGGAGAGCCGGGGGAAGAAAAACCGAAAUGGAUUCAUUCUCUGUCCUGGAUGGAGGAGGAGAGGAGAAGAAGGGGACGUGCGAGCUUCCUUCAACUGCCUCUGUCCGGUGCAAAGUGAUGAAACCCCGGGGUCUCCUCAGGGCUCCGGAGUCCGCGCGGACUUUCGCUUUAAGCUGCCAAUCAAAGCGCUAACUAGACACCACCCUGCUCUGGCACGGACAUGUUCUCCAAUAUGGACAUGAUGCCAUGAAGUCUGUAUUAGAGACGUAAGAGGGAAACAUUUUCUGGAAAAGACCUUUGUUAUUAGAUGAUUCUAGUGCUGUUUGACAGAGGUACCUGUGGAUAACCCGUGUCUCUUCCUACGCUUUCAACACUAAAGAAACCUCAAGAAGUCCUGGGGUUUUCGGAUCUAACCAACUGAAAUUGGAGGAAAUGAAUUGGUUCCCACUGAACUGAUGCAAAAWCUUCAUCUGAGGAAAACAGUCAAAUUGGUCCACAAAAUGUCUUAAUGGGGGUUAUUUAAUCACUCAAUCCAGUUUUCUUUGAAAAAGGAUAUGUCAGUGAUGUUCAUCCACUAGCUGAAUCGAAAUUAUAAAAACAUCCCUUGUAGAAAAUAUAUGUGAGCGGACAACAACUGCAGAUUUAUCUUGCAGUAUUCCUAAACUAGAUGAAAUGUAAAUAAAAAGGCUAAUCAGGCCAGAAUAUUUUUAGUCCUUUAGAGGAAACUAUAUCUGAUGCUACUUAAUUAGGAAUGACUCUUAAAUAAUGAUUUGACUGUUUCUUGCAGAGAAAUUAAGUACCUACUGAUUUUUUGUUUUUGAUGUAACAAAACUCUGAUCUGAGGCUUGCAAGCAAAAAUCUAUGUUUAUAAAUUUUAGCUGUUKACUAAUCUGUGUAAAAGAGAGGUUAAAAGUUUUUACAUCUGUUUUGUUGGUAAAUUGCAUAAUAUUGCAUUGAAAUUCUYGUCAAUAUAAAAUUACAUUUUGUGCUUUUUCUAUCUACAUGAGAUAAUUCAUCAGCAGAAGGUGCGUGCACACCCACAGCCCAUGCAGGUGCAGGGCACUGUGGCACUGGAGUGGGUCUUAUAUCCUGCCCRCAUUGGUCUUAUAUCCCAGCUAGAUGGGACAUUUAAGUUGAGCAAAAGGCACAUUUGCCUCUCCAAAUAAACAGAAUUAUAGUUUGAAGAUAUGACUCGGUGCUGAAGAGCUUAUGCUGUGUAGUAAAAGAGAGAGAAAGGACUUUGCUAAAGAACAACGGCUAGCAGCAUUUUGAUCCAUUUUAUAUGUUCCUGCUCC